rnacentral:rRNA from 1 species
GAAAGUAAAGAAGGGCGUAUGGCGGAUGCCUAGGCUCUCGGAGGCGAAGAAGGACGUGAUAAGCUGCGAUAAGCUGCGGCGAGGAGCAAAUAUCCUGUGACCCGCAGAUUUCCGAAUGGGGCAACCCGGCAGGACCACCUGUCAUCCCGGGAAACGGGAAGCAAACGUGGGGAACUGAAACAUCUCAUUACCCACAGGAAAAGAAAAUAACAAUGAUUCCGUCAGUAGUGGCGAGCGAAAGCGGAAGAGCCCAAACCGGUUCUGUUUCGGCAGAGCCGGGGUAGAAGGACUGCAUACGACAAAGGAGCAGGUAGCCGAACGGUCUGGAAAGGCCGGUCAAAGACGGUGAUAACCCGGUAGGCGAAACCAGCGACAGCGACAGCAGUAUCCUGAGUAGUGCGGGACACGAGAAAUCCUGUAUGAAUCUGCGGGGACCAUCCCGUAAGGCUAAAUACUCCCGAGAGACCGAUAGCGAACCAGUACUGUGAAGGAAAGGUGAAAAGAACCUCGAACAGAGGAGUGAAAAAGACCCUGAAACCAUACGCCUACAAGCGGUCGGAGCCCCUACGUGGGGUGACGGCGUGCCUUUUGCAUAAUGAACCUACGAGUUACUUUUGCCAGCCAGGUUAAUCGAUUCAGUCGAGGAGCCGAAGCGAAAGCGAGUCUUAAUAGGGCGGUAUAAGUUGGCAGGAGUAGACGCGAAACCAAGUGAUCUACCCAUGAGCAGGUUGAAGGUUAGGUAACACUAACUGGAGGACCGCACCGGUAAACGUUGAAAAGUUUUCGGAUGACUUGUGGGUAGGGGUGAAAGGCUAAUCAAACUUGGAGAUAGCUCGUACUCCCCGAAAUGCAUUUAGGUGCAGCCUUCUGAAUAUAUUUAAGAGGUAGAGCGACUGAUAAGAUGCGAGGGCUUCACCGCCUAUCAAGUCUUGAUAAACUCCGAAUGCUUAAAUAUGAAUCAGAGGAGUGAGGGCAUGGGUGCUAAGGUCCAUGUCCGAGAGGGAAAUAACCCAGACCACCGGCUAAGGUCCCGAAAUAACGGCUAAGUUGAAUUAACGAAGUAGAAUUGCAAAGACAGCUAGGAUGUUGGCUUGGAAGCAGCCAUUCAUUUAAAGAGUGCGUAACAGCUCACUAGUCGAGGAGUUUUGCAUGGAUAAUAAUCGGGCAUAAGCCCUUUACCGAAGCUGUGGAUGUCGUAAGACAUGGUAGGGGAGCAUUCCGGCGGCGACGAAGGCCGUCCUCGAGGACGACUGGAGCUUUCGGAAAAGCAAAUGUAGGUAUAAGUAACGAUAAAGGGGGCGCGAAACCCCCUCGCCAUAAGACUAAGGAUUCCUGAUCAACGCUAAUCGGAUCAGGGUAAGUCGGGCCCUAAGGCGCAGCCGAACGGCGCAGCCGAUGGAAGAAACGGUAAAAAUUCCGUUACUGGAUAUAGGAGCGAUGUGGAGACGGAGAAGUGACACACCCGCCUGCCGACGGAAGCGCAGGUUAAAGGAAGUAGGUAAACGCCGGGCAGGCAAAUCCGCCUGGCGUGCCGAAGCUGACAGUAUCGAGAGCCCCCGGGCAAUCGAAUAGCGGUGGUAAUCAGGCUCCCAAGAAAAUCCGCUAAGCAUAUUCUAUAUUCACCCGUACCCCAAACGGACACACGUAGUCGGGUAGAAUAUACCAAGGCGCUCGAAAGACUCACGGUUAAGGAACUAGGCAAAUUGACCCUGUAACCUCGGGAAAAAGGGUCCCCAGUAAGAUGGGGCGCAGAGAAUAGGUCCAGGCAACUGUUUAACAAAAACACAGGGCUGUGCAAAAUUUCAAGAUGAAGUAUACAGCCUGACACCUGCCCGGUGCCGGAAGGUUAAGAGGAGAGCUUAUCGCAAGAGAAGGCUUGAAUUGAAGCCCCGGUAAACGGCGGCCGUAACUAUAACGGUCCUAAGGUAGCGAAAUUCCUUGUCGGGUAAGUUC